CAUACACCUAAAGAAUUCAACAAACCAAUAGGUAUUUACAAUUUGAUUUUUCAUAAAUAUAUAUUCCUCAUUGACUAACUAUUUAAUAUUUCAAUUUAUUAGAUAUUUUGGCUAUUGCUCUUAAAAUGAACCCACCAAAAGAAGUCAACACUCCCUAUGAACUACAUACAAUUCAAGAGAUAUAUUUAAUUGAUGAAAGUUGUAGCUUCAAACCAGUAUGUUUGACGAUGUGGGGGCAUAAAGUCCACGAUGAAUGCUUACAAAUAGCAGAAGUAAUCGAAGACAGACCCAUAAUAUUGGGAUCAAAACUAAUUGUUCAAACCAAGAGAGGGCUGUCUCUAUCGUCACGCGACACGAGUACCUUCAAAAUCAAUCCUCAACUCCCAGAGGCAGAAGCACUGAAGGAAUGGUAAUACUCAUAAAAUCAAAUACACAUACUAUUAUAGCUACACAUUUUACAAAAAAAAUUAAAUUUUUGUAUACUAUAUUUAUAAUAAUACUUACUCUAUUUUAAGGGCGGAGAGUAACGAAACAGAAAUUAAAAACGCAAUAGCAAACUGCUUGACAUAUGAAUCUUCUCCAAAAUCUUUUGUUGGAUUACACGAAAUAGUGACUAACAUCCAAUAUCUUACUAUAAUAUUUACUUUAUAAAGCUUUCGUUUCAAUAUCUUACUAUUAUUAACACCAUAUGAUUUGGAUGUAGAAAAAAUAAUUUUGUAUUGAGGCGGCAAUAAAAAUAACUGAUACUCUCCAUAAUUUUUAUUACAUGUCAUGUGACGCAUGUUAUAAAAAAAUAGAUUUAUACAAUUGCGAUGAAAAAAUCAUAUGUGACAAGCCAACAUGCGGCCAAGAAGGAUUUCCUACACCACGUGCUAUAGCAUAUGUUGAACUUGAUGACAAUACAAAGAGCCUAUCUGCUGUCAUGUUCGCAGAUAUUGUGGAAAAAAUAUUUCGUAUAAUGCUGCUCAACUAAUGAAAUAUACUAAUAUAUUGCAAACACUAAGCUUUCUUAAACACUAUAAUAUUUUUAGUUUAUUUUUGGAUUAACUUAAGAACAUAUUUAAAUCAUUAAGCUUUCUUAAACACUAAUAUAUUGCAUUCAGUAUUUAACAAUAAUCUCAUUUUCAAAUAACAUAGAAAAAACCU